CGGGGCGUGGCCUAGUGGCUAUGGCGUCUGCUUUGGGAGCAGAAGAUCGGGAGUUCGAGUCUCCCCGCCCCGACCA
rnacentral:tRNA from 1 species